GCAACCACCAACGGCUAAGUAAUCAACAAGAGCAACAAGAACUCAUGAUUUCCUGACAGCAGGGAAGCUUGGAGAAUUGACUCUAGAGAUGAAGAUGAAUGUUCUUUAGCUUUACCUAAACCUAGGUGUGGCAUGGGGAUUGGGAGAUCUGGAAUGAUGUCAUUGCUUAGAAGAAUAUUAGAGGGACAAAAGCUGUGACAAUGGUGGCCUGCCUGAGAACUGGUCUUGUCAGGCUGGCAGAGAUGAAGGCAAAGCUCUGAGUAAUAGUUGAUGACUGAAUUGAGAAGUUGGUCCUUCCAUCAGGAAUCCCACCCACUGUGGAGGAACUGCAAACUGUUGUGAAUGAGACCUUUUGGAAUUUCUGAUGAGUUGAGUCUUGAGUAUUUGGACUUGGAAUUUGAAGAUUACUUUACUCUUCAUAAAAGUGACCAAAUUAAACACAAAGACACCAUAAAGGUUGUUCACGCUGCCCCAAUUGUUCUUAACUUGCUUCCUCUUGAUGAAAGUUUGGACAGUUCCUCUGGUCGAAAGUCAACUGACUGUGAGGCUGCAUCUUAUGCAGCAUCAACUGCAUCAAAUGCAGAGUCAUCUGCUGGAACAUCAUCAUCACAGGAUACCAUUAUCCUGCCUAGGCGGAGUACCACAGAACAAUGCCAGCCAUGGCCAAAGUGGUUCCCUAUUCCACAGUUUGCAUAUGAAACCGAGAUUUACCUUGAAAGAGCCAUUGAAGACAACCAAAUAAUGGAACACUUCUGACUACCUCAAAGGUCAAGGCUGACAUACUUGAGAAGCUGUCUGAAACUAUAUACACAUUUACAGCUUAUCCAUCAAGUGCACAGAUAAGUAAUACUUGUCCAGAAAUAUCCUUUUCUCAAGGAACCAGACUCCUUCUAGGGUUGCUAUGGCUUCAACAAAGCAUAAAAUGCAAGACGGCCAAUUAUCGCACCAAACUCAGAGGCUACAGUGUUCCUGAGGUGAUAUGCAAUGCACUUAAAUGCAAGAGACCUGCGGACCAGAAAUCUGCAAAGAGUCUAAAAAAAAAAACCUAGAAAAGCAGAGGUAAAUUACCUCCCCCUUACCCAUCAGGAGAGGAUGAACAAAGUCAAGAACAAGAGAGGAUUCUGCUGCUUAUUGAAGUAAGGAAGAGGUACAACAACAAAUUGAUAAAAUAAAAAAUAGACAAAAUAUUUGCACACAGAAGAAACAAAAUUGCCAACCUAUCACCCAGCAUAUGGAACAUCAAAGCCAGAUGGCCUGCUCUAUUUGAGGCAUCUCCUGUGAGUUACUAAUGCUAAAUUAGACAUAUUCCUAGUCCAUUGUGAAGGGACUGCACUAAAAGAUAGCAAAAUUUGUCUGGCCCACUUGUGGGCCACAUACUUGCUUUAGUUCUGGCCCAGUAUAUGCCUGGGUCCCUGGCCAAAACUGGCCCACACACUGAAAACCGACACAUACAAUUUCUUCUGGCCCAGAUCUGGCUCAGACACUGUAAAAUGAAUUAUAUUGUUUUAUGUGGCCCGGGUCUGGGAAAGACACUGUAGGACAGAUCUGGCUGAGAGUCGGCUUGGUCCCCGAGCCAGAUGUGGCCCAGAAACUGCACAAUAUACUUCAUUUUAGCAGAGAAACACAAAUUCAACCAUUUAAUAAGAUUAAGGGCUUUUAUUAAACAUUAACGAAUACAUUACAAUACGAACAUUUAUUAACACACUUUUAAAAACAAGAAAAUAACAAUUAAAUAUAUUUACAGUAUAUUUAAAGACAAAAAAAAAAUGUUCUCACACACACACACCCCGACCCAGCUACCAACACACACACACACACACACACACACACACACACACACACACACACACACACACACACACACUAAUAAUUUCAACUACUUAAAAACAUAUAGAGAACAUACAGUUGCAGUCAGAAGUUUGCAUACCCCUUGCAGAAUCUGCAAAAUCUUAAUACUUUUAACAAAAUAAUAAAAAUCAUAAAAAAUCCCAUAUUUUUUAUUUAGUACUGUCCUGAAUAAGCUAUUUCACAUAACAGAUGUUAACAUAUAGGUCACAAGACAAUUUCUGAAUUUAUAAAAAUUAUCCCAUUCAUGAGUUUACAUACGCUUGAUUCUUAAUACUGUAUGUCAUUACUUGGAUGAUCCACGACUGUGUUUGUUUUGUGAGAGUUGUUCAGGAGUCUCUUGUUUCUCCUGAGCAGUUAAACUGCCCACUGUUCUUCAGAAAAAUCCGACAGGUCCUGCACAUUCUUUGCUUUUCAAAUAUGAAAAACAUCAUCUGCAUAUUUGACUCCUUUCCAACAGUAACUAUAUGAUGCUGAGAUCCAUCUUUUCACACUGAGGACAACUGAGGAACUCGUACAUGACUAUUACAUAAGGUGCAAACAUUCAUUGAUGCUCAAGUAGGUAACAAUACAUUAAGAGCCAGGGGGGUGUAAAUAUUUUAAUAGGAUGACCAGUGUAAAUUAUUAUUAGUUUGUUUAAAGAUGAUUUUUUUUUUCCGUUUAUUACUGCCCUUCAGAAGCUAAAUGAUCAUCAUGUUUAAAAAAUGUACAGCCAGGCACAUAAUAAACUUUAUGCAUUAUUCUUAAUGCAUUGUGUUGCCAUCUUGAGCAUCAGUGAAUGUUUGCACCUUUUUUGGAAUAGUCGUGUAUGAGUCCCUCGGUUGUCUUCAGUGUGAAAAGAUGGAUCAGAACAUCAUAUAACUGCUACUGGAAACUGCUUAAAUAUGCAGGAAAAGCACCUGGAGGAUUUUUCUGAAGAACAGUGGGCAGAUUAACUACUCUGGACAAACAAGGGACUCAUGAACAACUAUCACAAAACAUAAAAACAAUUGUGGACCCUUACAUAUCAUCUCAGAGAGACUGCUAAUUCUGUAUGUAAACAGAUAUACUUACCAAUCACAACCUCUCCGAGUUGGAGAGUGGCCAGUGAAAUCUUUCCAUUGACUCGCCUCCAAUUGAGGUUCUUUGCCAGGAUGUUGGCAAUUACCCUCUUCAAUAUGCGCCAGGUGCACUCGUACACAUCCGCCCCAUCAAUCCGCUCCCUACCAUAGUAUAUAAGUGGUCGUUAAGGCUUCUCAGAAUGCGUCAUGGUCGAAAACCUGCCUCUUCCUUUCGUUGCUAUUGUUGGCUCGAAUUUAGCCUAUUACCCAAAAACAUUUAAAAUUCAACUUAGAAGCCAAUACUCACAUCUACCUCUGAGACCAGUUGGAGAUAGAAAAAAUACACCAGCCGUGAGUGAGAAGAAGCAAGGGUCCAGCUUUAUUGUUUCAUUCCACCACACGAGAUCCACACCGAUGAGAAUUCUCAGAAGUGAUCCCAAUACCCUGAGCUUAAGCUCCAGUAUUUAUACUGUAUUUACACACUAGAUAACCCAUAGGUUUCCAGAAAAGGCCUAUUUCACUUACCCAUAGAAUUGAAACCAGGGGUUUUACUUUACACAUAAAAUCAGAACCCAGGCAUUUCCAACAACCCAGGAAACAAAAACCCAGGGUUUCUAGUUACCUAGGUUGUCAAAAACCAAGAUUCCCAUUUACCUAGGUUUUCAAAAACCAGGAUUCUCUUUUACCUAGGUUUUCAAAAACCAGGAUUCUCUUUUACCUAGGUUUUCAAAAACCAGGAUUCCUAUUUCCCUAGGUUAAAAAAAUGACGUAAGCAAGACGACUAAACAACCGGGAGGGACCUUGGUCUUAUCGUUAUCUCGGGG